rnacentral:rRNA from 1 species
CCUACGGGAGGCAGCAGUGGGGGAUAUUGCACAAUGGGGGGAACCCUGAUGCAGCGACGCCGCGUGGGUGAAGGAGCGUUUCGGCGCGUAAAGCCCUAUCGGCAGGGAAGAAGAUGACGGUACCUGACCAAGAAGCCCCGGCUAACUACGUGCCAGCAGCCGCGGUAAUACGUAGGGGGCAAGCGUUAUCCGGAUUUACUGGGUGUAAAGGGUGCGUAGGUGGUUCAGCAAGUUAGUAGCGUAAUUCCGGAGCUCAACUUCGGCACUACUACUAAAACUGUUGGACUUGAGUGCAGGAGGGGCAACUGGAAUUUCUAGUGUAGCGGUGGAAUGCGUAGAUAUUAGGAAGAACACCGGUGGCGAAGGCGAGUUGCUGGACUGUAACUGACACUGAGGCACGAAAGCGUGGGGAGCAAACAGGAUUAGAUACCCCAGUAGUC